UACGUAGGGGGCAAGCGUUGUCCGGAUUUAUUGGGCGUAAAGAGCGUGUAGGCGGUUUGGUAUGUCCGUUGUGAAAACUCGAGGCUCAACCUCGAGACGCCGAUGGAAACCAUCAGACUAGAGUCCGGAGGAGGAGAGUGGAAUUCCUGGUGUAGCGGUGAAAUGCGCAGAUAUCAGGAAGAACACCCGUGGCUAAGGCGGCUCUCUAGUACGGUACUGACGCUGAGACGCGAAAGCGUGGGGAGCGAACAGG
rnacentral:rRNA from 1 species